CUACAGUUAGUGCUUUAACAGUGCAUAGAUUCAACUCCAGUGACCAUUGGCCUAAUUGUUUAAAACCAAAACCGAAUCAAUCAAUUCAGCAAUUACUUGGUUAGAUUUGGCAGAUAAAGCCAAUUUUGUAAGAAACGGAAUUUACUGAUCAAAUCAAACCGAACCACCCAUUGGUCCAACUCCUAGUUAAACCAAUUGGAUUAGCCAGUCCACUCUAAUUCUGAAAACAAAGCUUCAAAGAAUUGACUAGAAACUUGAUCAUCUUAAUUCAUGUCAAUACUUUUCAAAAGCAAUUUGAUUAGGGAAUUGGUCUGACCAUGAGCGACUUACAUUAGUGUUAGUCCAUCUUUGGUCAAAAAUAGGAAAAAGAACCUACUCACAAGCUUUGAGCUUCUUCUUUUUCUAUUUUUCUCUACAUAAGGGUACAGUGUCUAUAGGUAUAUUUGGUUUUGGAUGACUGGAAACCAUUUGAAUUUAAGAACUAGCUAUGAUAGCACUGAAUGCUUGGCAAUUA
rnacentral:misc_RNA from 1 species